rnacentral:rRNA from 1 species
CCUACGGGAGGCAGCAGUGAGGAAUAUUGGUCAAUGGACGAGAGUCUGAACCAGCCACGUCGCGUGAAGGAUGACUGCCCUAUGGGUUGUAAACUUCUUUUAUAUGGGAGUAAAAUGUUCCACGUGUGGGAUUUUGUAUGUACCAUAUGAAUAAGGAUCGGCUAACUCCGUGCCAGCAGCCGCGGUAAUACGGAGGAUCCGAGCGUUAUCCGGUUUUAUUGGGUUUAAAGGGAGCGUAGGUGGAUUGUUAAGUCAGUUGUGAAAGUUUGCGGAUCAACCGUAAAAUUGCAGUUGAAACUGGCAGUCUUGAGUACAGUAGAGGUGGGCGGAAUGCGUGGUGUAGCGGUGAAAUGCUUAGAUAUCACGAAGAACUCCGAUUGCGAAGGCAGUUCACUGGACUGCAACUGACACUGAGGCUCGAAAGUGUGGGUAUCAAACAGGAUUAGAUACCCCUGUAGUC